rnacentral:rRNA from 1 species
GUAGGUGGCAAGCGUUGUCCGGAAUUAUUGGGCGUAAAGCGCGCGCAGGCGGUUCUUUAAGUCUGAUGCGAAAGCCCACGGCUCAACCGUGGAGGGUCAUUGGAAACUGGAGAACUUGAGUACAGAAGAGGAAAGCGGAAUUCCACGUGUAGCGGUGAAAUGCGUAGAGAUGUGGAGGAACACCAGUGGCGAAGGCGGCUUUCUGGUCUGUAACUGACGCUGAGGCGCGAAAGCGUGGGGAGCAAACAGGGAUUAGAUACCCUGGUAGUCCACGCCGUAAACGAUGAGUGCUAAGUGUUAGGGGGUUUCCCGCCCCUUAGUGCUGCAGCUAACGCAUUAAGCACUCCGCCUGGGGAGUACGGCCGCAAGGCUG